rnacentral:lncRNA from 1 species
AAUUUCAAUACAUUUCCGAGCUUCCCCUUUUUGGACAAACGAUGAGGUGAAAAAUACCCUUUACAAGUUAACCAAUUUAGGGAAGCGUUUGGCCUUAGUGCUAUCUACUUGAAUAAAAUAAAACGAUACUACAAUUUUCAGGUGUCCAUUUUCUUAAAAUAUUGAGAGCUGUACACUAGUCGUCUUUAACUAAAAUAUUAUCCAAUCAAUCAAGUUGUAACGUCAACCUUCCGAGACAAAACAAAAUAUACCCACUGGUUCCCACCGACUUUGUUAGACUAGAUCAUGAACCUCAUUAUUCAAUGACUUGGGAACAAAUAUCGAUCCAGUAAAAAAAAAAAACAUCGCAUUUCUCUAUACCUGUUUAAUUUUCAAUCCAACCAGAGCAAUGUCUGAAAACGUUUUUCAAUAUCAUUGACCAGUUCAAGAUCCAAAACCAAAACAUGCGAUAAUACCAAAUUCUAUUUCAGAGUAAGGCACGAACAAUUCCGUAGAUGGACGACCGUUACUCCAAAAUACCCCUCGGAUUUACCAUCUUUUUAAAUAUCGCUAUCAAAAUGAACUCCAUCUCUUUAUAAACCCGAAAUCAUAAAAUAUCUAGCUAGUGUACAAUUCCCUCUAUUUAUUCUGGAACGGAAACGUAAUUUAAUAUUUUAGAACUGUUUGACUACGAAACCGAAAAGAAAUAUAACAAAUGUAAAGAAAUAAA